UACAGAGGUCUCAAGCGUUGUUCGGAUUCAUUGGGCGUAAAGGGUGCGUAGGUGGCGUCGUAAGUCGGGUGUGAAAUUUCGGAGCUUAACUCCGAAACUGCAUUCGAUACUGCGGUGCUUGAGGACUGGAGAGGAGACUGGAAUUUACGGUGUAGCAGUGAAAUGCGUAGAGAUCAUGAGGAACACCGGUGGCGAAGGCGGAUCUCUGGGCCGAUACUGACGCUGAGGAGCGAAAGCGUGGGGAGCGAACAGG
rnacentral:rRNA from 1 species